UAUUAAGUAAAAGUAUGAAAAAUAAUAAAAUAAUAAUAUGAAAAAACAAAUGAAAUGGAAUGGAUAAAAAAUAUUAAAGAAAUAGUGAAAAGUAGAAAACACUGGAAGUUGAUGUGACUGCAUGAUGACUUUUUAGGUGUGACUGGUAGUAAUCUAAAGUGGCUGUUUAUUCAUAAAAAAACAAAACAAAAACUCAGGAGUGCAUUCGGAUGAUGCAGUGGUUCCGUCGGUCAACCUGUCAGAUAAUACAAUAUAAAAUAAUAGUGGGGCUCAUUAUUUUUUCAAGUUUUUCAUAAAUAUUUAAACUCAUCUUAAUAUCCAAACAUGCUUAACUCAUCUUAAGUGGACCCCACCAAACUCAUUCAACCAUCUCAACUCAACACUAUUAAAAAAUAACUCAACUCAACUCAGUUGACUAUCCAAACGCAGCCUUAGAAGGUCUGGUGGCUCUUCCUUCAGGUUCUAUUCUUUUCUCAUUUUUUUUAAAGAAAAAACUUUGGGCUUUGUUUUGUUCCAUUUUCAUAUUUUUCUUAGAAAGAAAUUUCAGAAGAUCUUGGUUUUGGUGGUACAUUAUCAUUUGAUAUUUAAGAUAUAGUUUUAUUGCUUGAUUAUGUAACAAUGACAAUAGAUUGUUAAAUAGUUUCUAUUGGUUUGAGGUUUCCAGCUCGACAAUUUACUACUAGCACCUUUUAAUAGAGAAUUGUUAAGAUACUUAUAAAAAUAUUAGGGAACAAUUAAGACUCUGCACCAUUUACUACUCCCACUACCAUUUACAAGUCACCAUUGUUAAGACUCUGCACCAUUCAAUAGAGAACAAGUCUCACUUCACCGCUUGGAACGGCUUGGCCUAAACUUUGACAUUUUGGUUACUUGUAUUAAAUAUCCCGAGUCAAUCUCUGAAAAUCCUUUUUGUUUUCCUGGUAUAAUGUUGGGGCUUGUGGAAGUUUGUGAAUAAAAAAAGUAAGUGUGGUUUUAGUAGCCAUGAUUUUGUACUCUCAUUUGGAUAUUAAUUUCACUUUGAAGCAUGAUCUAGCGACCAAUGGAGACUUGGUCCAGAAGGGUUGGUGCUGCCAAUGUACCCACCUUACUCUAAACUUAUGGGCCUUCAUGUAGCAGCGAGUAACAAGUUCAUGCAUUUUAACUAGCCAUCUUAGAUUAUAACUGUGAUAAUACAUCUUAAGGGCAGGUUUGGCCCCCAAGACAAGAUACGAAAUUCUCAAACAAAUUCAAAACUGAGAUGAGUUCUUUUUACCAAACUGCUUUUAAAUGUCGUAACUGGGACGAGAUAUCCGGAUGUAAAAUGUUUGAACACUGUUUAUUGAAAUGACCGGCUAUUGAGUGGAAUCAGUAAUGCCUAUCAGCCUUUCUCUUUCCCCAUGUUUGCACAACGAAAUUUCCCACAGCUUUCUUCAAACAGCAGACGCCCCAAACCCCCACCCGAAAUCUGAGAUCCCGUAUCAACCAAUCUCAUCUCUCGUCUUCAUCAGCCUCACAGGGGGAUGUCUUCUCUGCAGAAUGUAUAGAGGCAGCGCAGCUGAACCAACCGAAUAAAAUAUCGCCGGCCUCUUCGGAACGGAAGCUACGAAUACAACGGUAAUGUGCGAAACGGGGAUGCGUCCGGUGCCAACCUUCUGUUUGGCCGAAAAACAACAACAGAAACAGAGAAUCUCACGCCCGUUUCCCCCUGUACCCGAGAUUGAUGUUUGAGUCGGUGUGAAUCUCUGUAUCUGAUAUAGAGGACAUUGGCAGGCGAAUCUCUGCCCCCAACCUAUCUACACUCCCUGCCCUGCUUCCUAACCUCAGAAUACCGAUUGUCCCUUCAGUCAAUCUCUGCUUUCCUUUCAUUGCAAUAGUCGACGAAUAUCUCCACUGAGCUUGGGAGUGGACGGUUGGUUUCAAAAUGGUCUAUAAAGGGAAACUGCGCAACCCGUUCAAAACCCACCCUUUAAAACACCAUAAGCCUCACAGCGAAUGUAAAAUUUCUCCAAAGCUACGGCGUUGCCGUCGUACAGCAACCACCACGGCUCCCAGGACGCGGUCAUACCUGCGUUACUUCUUACGCUCAGGAAGCAGACCCACAUCUGUACAGAGAGCAUUUAUGGACAAUGAUACGAUGGAUUCCACCCGCGAUCGAGAGAUAUGGAAUGAAGGGUUCGAGGACCGACUAGUAUACAUGUUGUAUGAGGACACCGUCAUGGAUAGAUUGAGAGGAGGGAGGAUCACAAAUGCUGAUAAUGUAAGGCUUGCGAGCCAACUAUCUGCAAUUAUGUCCCACAAGAAAUUCAAUUCUGAGCAAGUUAAGGGAAAGAUAGCACGUCUAAAACGCAAACAACGAGAAUUUACCGAUCUUAUGAAACAAACCAGUUUGGGCUGAGAUUAAGAGAGGAAGGCCCCAAUUGCUAGUGAGGAACAUUGGGCGAGGGCCCUUCGAGUGAGAUCAUCAUGGAAGAAUUUCAAGACUUGGGGAUGCCCAAGGUAUGAAGAGCUAUGUGCAAUCUUCGGUUGUGCAGUUGCAACUGGGACAAUGCAUUGUGCUUCAACUGAUCCUCCCCCAGACUCUGACGAUGAGCGGUUGCUUGAUGAGGAGAUGCGAAAUCGAGGCCAGCCAGUAAUCGAUGAUGGCGGAGGUCCAUCGUCGGUUACUCCAAGACAGUCAGCAACACCAUUUUCCACCUCAUAUGCUAGUGGAUCUCGUAGACGCCAAAGGGGAGGUCCCACGAUGGACGAGGGCCUUCAGAAACAAAUGACUGAUACACUUGAGGAGAUUCGCCGUAGUGCGGAAGUUAGGCGGGAGGCUGUGACGGAGGUGAUGGAGUCUAGUAGAUCUAGGAAGCGCAGUAAAGGAGAGCAUAGCAUGGAGUUUGAUGGAGCGUUUGAUCUCCAAAUGCAUUGCAUGAAGUUGUUGGAAGAGGUACAACCUCCCCUGUCUACUGAGCAAUUUAACAAGGCCUUCGACCGAUUGUUGCUGACAAAAGUUCAAAGGUCGUUUGUGUCUAUCUCGGAGGAUCGUAGAAGUAAGUGGGCUUGGAGUUUGAAGUGAUCGACCAAGCAUUGAAAGAAUUUCUCUGACACCUCUAUGUUUUCGAAGUUAUGACGUUCAGUUGAGGCGGAUAGCCAAUUUUCCUCAGACACCUCUUAUUAUUUUAGUUUUCAUGAUAUGCAUUAUUGUAUGAGACAUGUUGUAACAGCAAUUUGGAUUUUCCUUCUAACAUAGAUGGUUCUCUAUUUUGACUAUUUAAAUUUUCACGGCAAUUUAACUUAUAAUUCAAUCGAUUGUUUAUUUUGAUAAACAUCACAUGCGAAUUGUGCUAUUAUUUUAUAACAUUUUUUUUAACUUCAAACAUGUUCUUAUAUUCAAAAUGGACGAUGAUAAUAGUUCGGACGAAGCAUUAUCAAUAGAGACGACCAGCGAGCUUGGCACAUCAAUCUCUUCAGGUAGGUCACAUAAUAGUGACCUAGAUGAUAUGAUGGUGACAUUAAAUGGUUCUGGCGAUGAAGCGGAGAUUCAGGAUUGUCAGCUAAUUUAUAUGAUGUGGUUGGCAGCUCGAUUUCCAAGAGGUUGGCCAGCAAUUUCUCAACAUAAUAUUGGUUUACGAGGAGAACAAUAUAUUCAUGGAAUACUGAAUGACAAUCCUCGUAAUUGUCGUGACAUGUUUCGAAUGUAAGUUCCUGCUUUUCGUCAUGUAUGCAACCUGUUACAACACGCGUUAAUUAUGAAUCCUACAAAGCGGACUUCAGUGCAGGAAUCGGUAGGCAUCUUUUGCCUUGUUGUUGGGCAUGCACAAGGUCAACGAAUCGUUGGGGAUCGAUUCCAGCAUUCAAGUGAAACUAUCAAUCGACAUGUAAAGACAGUUAUACGAGCCCUACAUCAACUAGGGAGAACUGUGAUUAGACCAACACACACGGAAGGCGUCCAUCCUUACAUUGCUGGAAACCUCCACUGCUAUCCAUGGUUUCAGAAAUGUCUUGGUGCGAUGGACGGAACAAUGAUUGCAGCUAUCUCGUCUCAGCAACGCAUAUAGAAAUCGAUAUAAUCGAAUUGUAGAAAAUGUUUUGUGCUUAUGUGACUUUGAUAUGAAGUUCAUGUAUGUAUAUACGAGAUGGGAGGGAACAGCCCAUGAUGCACGAGUUUUCUUGGAUGCUUUGAGCCGCGGUAGGAAUCGCUUUCCAUGGCCCCCGCAAGGAUAUUAUUAUCAUGUGGACUCCACGUUUCCAUGCAUUGAGAAGUUUAUGCCGCCCUAUCCACGAGAGAGGUAUCAUCGGUCUGACCGUGUUAGUGGACGUAAUUUUCGAGGUUAUAGAGAUUAUUUCAAUUUUCGUCAUUCAUCGCUGCGGAACAUUAUUAAACGCACUUUUGCAUUAUUGAAGAAUCGAUUUCAAAUAUUGAGCGCGAUGUCUCGUUAUCGCCCAACCAGGCAAGGGAUGCUCAUUACCUCAUGUUGUACCCUACACAAUCUGAUUAAAACGGUGACGCUAUACGAUGAGUUCAUUCAGCAUGCAUUGACAAUGCAAUUAAAUGGAGAUGGUUCUAAUGGAGAAGAAGAUGCGGGCGAGACGUCUGAAGUGGUUGACAUGUCCCAUGAAUCAGCCGGAGCUAUGACUGCACAGAGGGAUGAGAUUGCCAUUCCGAUGUGGGCACAUAGGAAUGGGCAAUGAGUACGUACAAAGAGAUAAGUACUUAUUCUCUUUUGUAUGCUUGUGCUAUUAUGUUGUAAACCUUCGAGGAACACGGAUCCUCGAAGGUAGCCAUGGGAUGACAACUAUUUGGAACAAUUUGUGCUCAUUUUUUGUAUGCUUGUGCUAUUAUGUUGUAAACCUUCUAGGAACACUGUUCCUCAGAGGUAGUUAUGGGAUGACAACUAUUUGGAACAAUUUGCGCUCAUCUUUUAUAU